rnacentral:rRNA from 1 species
UGCCAGCCGCCGCGGUAAUACGGAGGGUGCAAGCGUUAUUCGGAAUCACUGGGCGUAAAGGACGCGUAGGCGGGAUGCCAAGUCUGAUGUGAAAUCCUAUGGCUUAACCAUAGAACUGCAUUGGAAACUGGUAACCUAGAGUAUGGGAGGGGGAGAUGGAAUUAGUGGUGUAGGGGUAAAAUCCGUAGAUAUCACUAGGAAUACCGAAAGCGAAGGCGAUCUCCUGGAACAAUACUGACGCUAAGGCGUGAAAGCGUGGGGAGCAAACGGGAUUAGAUA